rnacentral:lncRNA from 1 species
UGCAUCUUCAUGUUUUGUACCUCUCCCUCCGCUGUUGUUUUUGUGUUCUUAGUUUCCCUUCAAUAUUUACUUUGUGCUUUCAUUUGAGUGCUUAGUUUAAAGGGAGAUUCACUAUAAUACCUAAGGAUGGCAACGGGCCGGGUAGGGGCUGGGUAUGACAAUACCAUCUCCGUACCCGCUCUCCAUCCCCGCCCCCAUCCCUAAACCUAUACCCGUUUAAUAAGUUUCGGGGAAUCCCCGUCCCCGUUCCCGUCGAGGGACUAUCCCCCAUACCCGC